rnacentral:tRNA from 1 species
GGGAAUAUAGCUCAAAUGGUAGAGUGCAUGCUUAGCAUGCACGAGGUCCUGGGUUCAGUCCCCAGCAUAUACU